UGGCGUCUUUUCGAACUCCCUCGACCAUUCGAGCAUCCAUAAUACCAUUCGGACUUCUCCGAUAAUGAGCUCCUCCAUUCAUCUACCGGGCUGCUCCAAGCACUUUUCGAGCUUCACUAUCAGUCGAUUUUCUAUAGUCAUCGACUAUUCUCCGAAUCUCUUCCAGACUUCUUCCGGCUACGAACGACUCUACUCCGAACUUCUUUUGGACUUCGUCGACGUUCGAGCUUCUCCAAUAGUAGGACUUCUAAAGUAAUCAGACUCCAUCCAAGUUUCUAUGGU
rnacentral:lncRNA from 1 species